CCUACGGGUAGCAGCAGUGGGGAAUAUUGGACAAUGGGCGAAAGCCUGAUCCAGCCAUGCCGCGUGUGUGAAGACGGCCUUCGGGUUGUAAAGCACUUUCAGUGGGGAAGAAAGCCUUGGGGCUAAUACCCUCGAGGAAGGACAUCACCCACAGAAGAAGCACCGGCUAACUCCGUGCCAGCAGCCGCGGUAAUACGGAGGGUGCGAGCGUUAAUCGGAAUUACUGGGCGUACAGCGCGCGUAGGCGGUCUGAUAAGCCGGUUGUGAAAGCCCCGGGCUCAACCUGGGAACGGCAUCCGGAACUGUCAGGCUAGAGUGCAGGAGAGGAAGGUAGAAUUCCCGGUGUAGCGGUGAAAUGCGUAGAGAUCGGGAGGAAUACCAGUGGCGAAGGCGGCCUUAUGGACUGACACUGACGCUGAGGUGCGAAAGCGUGGGUAGCAAACAGGAUUAGAUACCCCGGUAGUC
rnacentral:rRNA from 1 species